UUUUUUUAUUUUAAUUUUAAUUUUUUUUUUUAAUUUUUAUUUUUAUUUUGGCUGUGUUUUAAAAAGGAAAAAGGAACAGUUGAAAUGGAUUCUAAUGAUAUAUUUAAUCCUCUUGUUUCAACAUGUGAAAAGUAUUCAUGAAAUACUUCACAUUCUUUUUCGUACUAAGUCCUCCAAAUCCACCGUGAGUCCGCGCUCCCAGCCCGGCUCACGUUGGACCGGCUGCAGCCCCAGCCUCCUGCUCUGUCUCGACAGCUGCACGUGGCCCGUGGCUUCCAGCGCGACAGCACAGGUCCGGAGCUGCUCCGGCAUUCUCACCAGAUUCCCUGACCCUCUCAAAGAAAAAAAAAAAAAAAAAAAAAAGUCAAAACCUAAUUACCUCCAGAGAGAACUAGACUCCACCCAAGUUGCCUAAAGAGAGGCCCAAAGAUCUGUUUGUUCUGCAAUGAAUAGAUGUUCAGGCCAUUCUUUUAGAAAUUUCUGCUUGACCUUUCUAACCAUACACUGGUGUCCAUUAGUGAGUGUUGCUGUUACGUCUCUGACCAGUUGUUAUUUUAAGUCACAAAAAACCAUGUUGAUUCACUGCUGAGACAAAAGUAUCUCCCUCACUUCCGUGACAAACGCUUGGACUGCUACGUGGCACUCGGGAGCCAAGGAGAGCUCCAGGCUGUCGUCGAGCGACCUCACCUCCGGCCGCCGCUCUCCUGCCUCUGGGCUGGCCGAGGGUCUUUGCCCAGGGCCGGUGCGCCCUUGGGAUUGGAGGGCUCCGUCCGUACAGCAGGCGCCUCUCGAUCUUGGGGCUGCGAGUUUGAGCCCCACGUUGGGUGCAGAGAUGACUUAAAAACAACAGCUUAAGAAGAGGAAAGAAAAGGAAUAGUGGCCAAGGCAUCAACCGAUGCUGACAUCGCCUAGUCACGGUGGGAACCCUGGAGGCGGAUCCCUGUCCAAAGAGGUGUCCCUGUUGUGUUGUGCUGUGUUGUCAGCACGUCCCUCGUUCUGGACGUUCACGGGUCUGGGUUGGGUUUUGUCGAAAACCACAACACCCGGUGGCUCCUGCGGUCAUCCUGGCGGCCGCCACACCUUCAGAGCCAGAAAUGGUGACACGUAGCCUGACAUUGGUUCCUUCUCCUCCGUGAGUCUUGUUUAGGUGAACAGUCUUGCAGGAGGUAAAAAAUAAAUGGCAUUUAGUUAGCUGCUGAAUGCAUCGCCCUGACUGAAAACAAAGACAUCUCGUUAAAUGAAGAUUGUUUCAGAAAAUCUGAGAUACAGAGUCACGUCCUCUGUGAAGCAAGGACCCGGCCCUCGCGGUCCUGAGGCCCCUGCGGCGAUUUCCAGUAGCAUUUUUGUACGCUUUACCCUAGAUCUCUUUCCCUCCUCUCUCUCUCUCUCUGUCUGUAUCUGGCUUUCUCUGACUGUCUCUUCUUUACACCUACACACAUUCUUUUCCCAUCUUUAGGGACAAAAAAACCUUGGUGGCUCUGGAUCUAUAGACUUACCGUUGUGAUUGCCGCUGUUACGGUUGUUGAGGUCUUUCUUGUUCUUACCGUGCGGCAGUGUCUAUAUUUGCACUUCUGAUGAGGAAAACCAGUUUACUCUGAAGGCAAAUCAACUUCCUCCAUGAUGGAGUUAGCCAUGUUCUCACUUCUCCUCUCACUAAUUUAAUCACAGAAAAUUUAAUUUAUAGAUAGCUGUUGCCUUUUUUCCAGGCUUCCUUGCAGAAAAGUCUCCUAGGCAAAUAAUGGCAAAGUCACCGUUCCAGAAUGCCGUCUAGAUCUUUUAUCUUCUACUCUGAGCAUCUGUGACCUUCCUGGUUCACCCCGGGCCAUCAAGGUUAGGACUUCUUAGAAAGAUGUGGGGGUCGUACCAUAUCCGAUGUCCGCUCAUGCUUCCUUAACUCAGUUUCUUAGCGCAAGAACUUGCUCUUCGUAAGGGAUCUAAGAGGCCACUUCUUCCUUAAGAUUGGAAAAGGCACACAAAGAAACCAUUCUCCUCAGGUGAGGGACACAGAUUCCUUGGGCAGUGCUGAGUGUCACAGACGUGGAUUUGAUGAUGACAGUUCAUACGAGCCUGCAGGAAGUGAGAAAGAGGAUGGCAGGGUAUGAACAUGGCUUCCCUUCCCAAAUAAAUGCCCAUCCCCUAGGCUUAGAGCUCACCUGGCCUUUGGGGCCGGGGUGGGAGGGUGCACAUGUGUGUUUGAAGGAGUUUAACAGUCAUGAGGUAAACACUCAUGGUUGCAAAGAAGGUUGAGAAUGCCUGAAAGACAAAUUAAUUCUGAGAAGCUGGAAUGAGUUUCUCAGCAUCACUUACCUCUCCUCUUUGCCUGCUUGUCUCCCCAUCUCACAGCUCCAGGCCCUUUGUAAUGGGAACGGUAAUUGGUAAAAACCCAUAGAUUGGUAGCCACACUUCCACUUGGACCCUUUUGAUGACACGAAAUUAUCCCAAAACUAAAGAGGUGACUCCGGGUCCUAGAUGUAGAUCCAUAGAGAUCAAUGGCAAAACCUGCUUGUUGUGCGAAGAACUCGGUGAGGUCGCUCACAGCUCUCUUUGCCACCCUGCGAACUAUGCCUGCCUCAGUCAAGGGGCUUUUGCAGGAAUCUCAGUGAUCAAAGACCUUUCAUCCUUGUGCUACUAUUGAUGGACGUUUGCAGUUCCUCCAGAGCCAUUCGCUCAAUGGUCACCUGGUAAAUGUUUCCGGAUGCUAACGAUAAGGCAAGAACCUAGUCUCUGGAGAGGUCUGCGAGUCGGUACGGAGCCCGGGGGAGCUUCUGUGGAGAAGCAGCUCCACCCAGAUACCCCAGGAUCACCGCUUGGCAGAGAGGUCUGUGGGCCUGUCGUCCUCACUGGAUUGAAGGGCUUGGAGACGCAGGGAAAACGUGGGGACCACGUGUGCUCUGUAAACCAAAGACCGAUCACCAUCCACAUGGACACGCAUUCUUCCAUUGACUAGUUUCAUUUUUUCCUAAUAUUCCCAUGAAUAAAAGUGCAGGUGCGUUGCCUGGUCAGAUGAAACGGUGGAACUGUAGAGGGUUUAUCUCUUGCAGGCUGGUGAUCGACCUUACUAAAUCCCACAAUCUUAAAAAAAAAAUGUAUUGUGGCCUUAGUACCACAGCAUCUUCAAAGUCUGGUGUUUAGUCUCCUUUUCCCUCAAAAAGUUUGAGGCAAAACUAGUGCUUUAUCGAACUCGGAAUACUGUUGUCUUUGAGAAUGUGAAGAUUUUUACCUCGCCAAAGAAUGUUCGUGGAGGAGAGCUUCUUAAUUAGGGCGUAUCCGUGCUUUUGAAGAGAAUACCAAACCCUUGCUCGUCGGGAUGGAGACUGGAGCAGUUGAGGAAGGCUGGCCGGCCUUCCUUUGGUGGCAUCCGUGGUACUAAGUGGUCACUAGGCAGUCACUGCACGGGGCAGGGUGCCCUCUGCUGGAAUAACCGCCGUUAUUCUUUCAGCCAAGUCAUUUGACCAGGGUCCCCGUUUCCUCAACUAAUUAUUGGCCUGUCAACUAGUUAUUGGCCUGUCCUCAUACAGUUUCCCCAAUAGUUGAGAACUUGGCCCACAUUUAUGCAAAGGGGAAGGAGUGUCACAAGCUCAGAAGCGUUGAAGAAGAGCCCCACGGAAGAGCUCACCGCCUGCAGCCCUUUCUGCAAAAUGUCAAAGCGUGUUGUUGGCUGUGUUUGCAGAGAAGAUGCCUCUGGCCCCAACAUCGUAAGGCAGGGGCCCGAGUGUUUUGUGACUUAUCUCCACUCUCUUCUUGUCAAAUCACAAAGGAAGAUCAAUAAACAGACGUCUUUCAUAUGAAUGUCAAUGGUGUGACACACUGGUGUGUUUUGUACGUGUACAUAAUAACACAUUUACUUCCUGCUUUCGCGUUAGUAAUCCGAAAUGGUUGUACCAUUUUAUAACUCGGAAGAGAUGUAGGGGUAGGGGAGGGUUGGGGGGAGCUGGUAUUUUUAUAGCAGGGUGUCCCCCUUCUAUUUAGAAAACUUGAAGCAAUUUUGUACUUGUGAAAAAGUCACAUUCCAUUCAUUUCCCAAAAAAUAAGGGGACUUGUUCUCUAAACUAUUCGUGAGCUGGGAGGAUGAUUAUUCUAGUUUCCAGGGGAGCCUCCUGAGCAGUGUAUAUGUGACACCCACUUUUAUAGAUUGCAGACCAUGACCAGCAAAAAUUGCCAUUUCAGUAAUGUGAAAACCAAAAAAAAAAAAAACUCUUUUAGCCCCUUUGUAUAUACCACAUUGUUAUUUUCACUGAAAAGAAAAAGUGCUACAAAGAAUUUAUCAUUAUAAAAAUAUUCAGAAAUGGCACCAUAAAUCAACCUCUAGUUUAAUUUCCCUGCUAGCAAGAAAGAAAUCCGAUGGAUUUAUGUUCCUCCCUAAACAUGAAUUUGUGUGCUUUUGUCUUAUAACAAAUGAUGUCGCGGGUAGAAUUUGACUUUGUUUUCUCUACGAGGUCUUUGUGGCCCGUCUGCAGGUCAUACGCGGCGGUGCCAUCAUGCUCUUACCUGUCCCCCUCCCUAGUCAGGUCAUGGGACGGCUUCCUGGAUUUAUUUGCCACAUGACUCAAAGAUCACAAAAAUUAUCCCUGAUGGCAUUUGCACGGGUAGCUUUUAAUUUAGACUUUGGUUAGCUCUUAAGUGCGGAGAAAUUUCGUAGUGGAUUAUGUAGCCUUUUUACCAAAACAUCAUCUUCUGUACAAAGUCACAGGUAUAUUUAAAUGGUUGGUCAAGGAGAUGUAGUUGGUUCGGGGGUUUUGUGGGGAGAAAUCUCUUUCUCUUUCCUUUUUCCGCUCCACAGGCACCUACCUUACUCCUUCCAGAGCACUUUAUCUCUCUCUUGAAAUACACAGAAGUUUAAAAAAACAAAAAACAAAAAAAAA
rnacentral:lncRNA from 1 species